rnacentral:lncRNA from 1 species
UUGAUUGAUACAGAGCACUCUAACUUUAGGAGCAGGCUGAGCCGCAGCAGGAGUGGGAUUUGCGGUUAAUUGCUUCUUGUUUGCUGGAAGUUUGUUGAAGAAACAUGAUGGUUUAUAUGCCAAUUUAGAACAUGAGAUGAAUCUCAUCCUGCAUUCAGUUGAUUAGAAUCUGUUGUGCUUACAAUUGCCUGCACUUUUGAAUGUGUCAUAUUUUGCAGAAUUUUUAGAGAGAGCAGGCUUUGGAUUCUAGAGAGGCAGAUUUCUUUCUCGAAUUGGAUUCCUUUUUAUCCAACAAUUUGUUUCUUCUUCAGAAUUGAGUUUUGUAUUGACUUGAAUAAAUUAUGGACGGAUUUCUUUUUCCCAAUUCUUUGUUCUUCCCACAAAUAUGAUUAGAUAUUGUCAGAAUUGAUUGCAUAUUUAUUUGUAUUACAGUUACAAGUCCCGGAAGAUGACGUUUGAGGAGACUGAAAUGGGCAUGGCAUAUCAAAUUGGACAUGUUGGGUAAACUGAUUUACUUGUUUGAUAUUAAUUUCAAUCCAUAUUCAGUCUUUUAAUGAACUGAAAGAAUAGUUAACUCAUGGCUUCAGAUCUUGUUGACAAUCUUGUUUCAAUUCCUUUGUUAGUUUCUGGCAAGCCGAAAAGAAAGACCGGGUCACUUUUCUUUUAGUUAUAUGCUUGCUUCUCUGCUGUUUUGAUUUUAAUAGGUACUUAUUUCUUUUGUGAAUUUGUAUCAAGUCGUAGUAAUGAUUUAAGACUCUUCAGCUUUGGAAUCUGAAUCAUAAUGGGGGAAAAAGAGGCAGUGAAAUUCAUGGAUUUGUGACGGCUUAAGGCC